AUCAUCACACACGUAGAAUAAAGUUGGUGUCUUUUUCAUUCUUCUUUCUAUUGCAUUAUAUCACUCUCCACUUAUCUUUUCUUUCUUACGAAGUUUCUAAACAUUUGCUUAACUUCUCUUUUCCCAUUCUAUUUAUGUGAGUUUUAGCUUUGAUUUAUUGACAACAAAGAUCAAUUACAAGUUUUGGUAGAUAAAGAGGUACGUAUUUCUAUCGAAUUUUAUGUACUUUAGCAUGUAUAAUUCAACUAAAAUAGAAGAAUAAAAAGAAAUAAUUAACUACAUUUUAAUACAAUGAAAUUUAAAUAUCGAUUAUUGAUCUGAUUUGAGUAUUAGAUAAGCAAUUAAUCCAUUUCUAUUGUUUCCUCAUGCACUUUUGUGUCACAAUCUUUUUUUUUUUUUUACGUUCAAUUCCCUUUUUUACUUAACGCUAAAUAAUUAAGAUUGUUUGAAUUCGUAUGAUUAGUAAAUAUUUGAUAAAAUAUAUUUAAAAAUAAAUUGUGAUAGAACUUAAUAACGUUUGGUGAGUGAUUAUUGUGUUUGAUUGUGCAUAUGUGGACCAAAGGUGAUGUUUGAAUAGUCAUAAUCAAUAAUAGAGGUGAUUAUUUUAUAUCGAUCAAUAUUUAUGGUAAAAUAAUAAAAAUUAAUAAUAAUUGAUAGUCGACAUGAUUAACUAUAGUGACAAUCGAUAGUAAAAAUCAUUAAUGAUGAAGGUGAUUGAUACUAGCAAUACAGUUAGUUAAAUUAACUCUCGUUAAAUUGAAAAAUCACUUAAAUUAAAACAUAGUAAAUAAAUUAAGAAACUAAUUAAAUUGAUUUAUUGAUAAAAUUUAUUUUUUGUGUCAAUGCAGGAGGGCUAAAGAGAAAUAUAUAGAAGAUGUAUGUAAUAGUGAUUUCAUUGCCUUUGAUUAUAUUGGUAUUGAUUGUAGCCAUUGUUUGUUACAUGUGUGGAAGAUCAAGGGGUUGUUGCUGAAUAAAUUUCACUCCAAAAUAUUCUAUUAAUCGAUGAAGCUAGAAGUCUGAAUACAAAUUUAAAUAUAUUUAUUUAAAUCAUAUAGUAAAUUUGUUAUAUUUGGGUUUUAAUUAUAGAACUCAAGCUAACACUAUAUUAUAUUUUCACUUCUUUCUUGAAUUUGUAUUUAUGAAAGUACGAUACGAUUGAAAUUAAAUUAAUCGAGUCAAUAAAUUUCAUAUCGAGAGCGCGAUUGUCAUGACAUGACAAGGAAGGAACCUCGUCUAAACUCAUACACGUAGAAAGUUGAAACCACUUCGUGUCACUUUAUGAUAUUUUGUUAUUUUUAUUUUUUAUUCUUUUAAUUUGCUUAUAUCAUAUGAACUCUCCAUUUUUUUUCUUUUGUCUUACUAAAAAAAAAUAAAAUUCUCAAACUCUUAUUUUUCCCUUUUUAUUUAUGUGAGUUUUAAAAUUUAAAAAGAAAAAGUUCACUCUAAGUAGUUUUGAUACUAGACAAGGUAUGUACAUAUUUUCUUAAUUUUUAUUAUGGUAUGUAAAAUUAAUUUUGAGCUUACCUUACAAUUGAUUUAGAAUUAAUUAGAAAAAAUUAUUUUUGUGUUAAUGCAGGGAUAUAUCAUAUAAUUAAAAAAAAAAUGCAUGUACUAGUGAUAUCAUUGCCUUUGGCUAUAUUGGUAUUGAUUUUAAUAGCCAUUGCUUGUUACUUCUUUGGAAGAUCAAGAGGUAGAUGGUGAUUAUAUUAUUCAAAAUAAUUCCUAAUAAAAAAUAAAAUAAAAUGGAACCCUUUUAAUUUUGUUCAAUGAACUUUUUUUUUUUUUUAUAUAUAUAUCUUGUUGUAUCAUGUAUAUUUAAUAGAAUGAAAUAUUACUUUUAAGUGUUGUUAUAUGAUAUUGUAAUGUUUUUUAGAAUGCGUACGUAUAUAAAUUGUUGAAUUGAAAAUCGAGCAUUACAUUUUAUCGCGCAUAUUAUUAUAUUUAUCGUGUUGAAUUUGGGCUCUAAUAUCAAAUUAUUAGGUUGAAUGCCUUUAAGAAUUAUUUUUAAUAUAUAAUAUGAGAUUAUUUAGUUUCAAAGUUAAUUUUUUUACAUGAUUUUAAAUUUUCUUUCGAAAUAUCAUUAUGUGAUUCUUAUAUUUUAUUUAUGUUUCGAAUCUACUCAAAGUUAUUAAUAUUAAUAUAAAAUUUUAAUCGCUCAACGUUAGAAGGAACACUCCUGAAAAAAAGAAUUUAAGUCUUGACGUAUCCCUAGAAAUUAUUAUAAUUUCUUCGUUUGAAAUUAUUUUUGUCGUUGCGCUUAUUGAAAGUUAAUUUUUUUAUAUUUAAAAUUAAAUUUAGAGC
rnacentral:lncRNA from 1 species